rnacentral:rRNA from 1 species
AACGAACGCUGGCGGCAUGCCUAACACAUGCCAGUCGAACGAGACCUUCGGGUCUAGUGGCGCACGGGUGCGUAACGCGUGGGAACCUGCCCUUAGGUUCGGAAUAACUCCCCGAAAGGGGUGCUAAUACCGGAUAAUGUCUUCGGACCAAAGAUUAUCGCCUUUGGAUGGGCCCGCGUUGGAUUAGCUAGUUGGUAGGGUAAAAGCCUACCAAGGCGACGAUCCAUAGCUGGUCUGAGAGGAUGAUCAGCCACACUGGGACUGAGACACGGCCCAGACUCCUACGGGAGGCAGCAGUGGGGAAUAUUGGACAAUGGGCGAAAGCCUGAUCCAGCAAUGCCGCGUGAGUGAUGAAGGCCUUAGGGUUGUAAAGCUCUUUUACCCGGGAUGAUAAUGACAGUACCGGGAGAAUAAGCUCCGGCUAACUCCGUG